rnacentral:rRNA from 1 species
GUGGGGAAUAUUGGACAAUGGGCGAAAGCCUGAUCCAGCAAUGCCGCGUGAGUGAUGAAGGCCUUAGGGUUGUAAAGCUCUUUUACCAGGGAUGAUAAUGACAGUACCUGGAGAAUAAGCUCCGGCUAACUCCGUGCCAGCAGCCGUGGUAAUACGGAGGGAGCUAGCGUUGUUCGGAAUUACUGGGCGUAAAGCGCGCGUAGGCGGCUACUCAAGUCAGAGGUGAAAGCCCGGGGCUCAACCCCGGAACUGCCUUUGAAACUAGGUAGCUAGAAUCUUGGAGAGGUCAGUGGAAUUCCGAGUGUAGAGGUGAAAUUCGUAGAUAUUCGGAAGAACACCAGUGGCGAAGGCGACUGACUGGACGAUUGUUGACGCUGAGGUGCGAAAGCGUGGGGAGCAAACAGGAUUAGAAACCCGGGUAGUCC